rnacentral:rRNA from 1 species
GUGGGGAAUAUUGCACAAUGGGCGCAAGCCUGAUGCAGCCAUGCCGCGUGUAUGAAGAAGGCCUUCGGGUUGUAAAGUACUUUCAGUCGUGAGGAAGGUGGUGUUGUUAAUAGCAGCAUCAUUUGACGUUAGCGACAGAAGAAGCACCGGCUAACUCCGUGCCAGCAGCCGCGGUAAUACGGAGGGUGCGAGCGUUAAUCGGAAUUACUGGGCGUAAAGCGCAUGCAGGUGGUGGAUUAAGUCAGAUGUGAAAGCCCGGGGCUCAACCUCGGAACCGCAUUUGAAACUGGUUCACUAGAGUACUGUAGAGGGGGGUAGAAUUUCAGGUGUAGCGGUGAAAUGCGUAGAGAUCUGAAGGAAUACCGGUGGCGAAGGCGGCCCCCUGGACAGAUACUGACACUCAGAUGCGAAAGCGUGGGGAGCAAACAGG